CUGCACCAAAAUAUUGAAUUAUAAUUUAGUUUGUCAAACCAGGAAUAUCGGAGAAUUAUGUCUUUAUCUUAUUUAUUUCAUCAUCAUAGCUUGACAUAUGCUUAGGAUUUGAAAGAGAUUCAAACUUUAUGCUUUCUUGUUUGGAUUUUGUCCUCUUUACCUCUCCCUAAAACUCUUUAGACUUUAUAGAAUGUUUUGUUAUUUGUUUUUAACCAUUCUACUCAUAUAGUUCUCAAUUGGGAUCACUUUUUCACUCUCUCUUUUUGUCUUUUGAUAUUUAUCAACAGAUUCUAUUUAUCUUUGAUAAAUGAGUUCAAAAUUCAUGGUGUCAUUGUAACACUUUUUAAGCUAUACAAUAGAUUCUAAACAUUUUCUUUCAACAAAUAUUUACACUCCAUUUGGUUCCAUUGAAAGGGUUUAGGCUUUCCUCACUUGUACACUUAAAACCCAGAUGCCCCUCUUGGUGCUUCUGUGACCAUUGAAGAAGUAGCUCUCUUGAAGUCUACUUCACUUUGAGGACUUCUCAAUUUUUUGGAUGGAUGAACUCGUGCACGAAGCUAAAUUGUACAGGACUAUUUGGCAUUUGUUACAUUUUUGAAGGAUUAUAUAUUUUUGGAUAGAUGUGUAUGGAAAGUAUUUGGAUAGAUUACUAGUUAUAUUUUUGGAUAGAUGCAUAUGGAUAAAAAUUUAAAACAUAAUAACAAAUACUUGUUAUGUUUUAAAUUUUUAUACGAAAUGGAUGUGAAUUGGAUGAUUAUAUAUAUGACAUGACCUUUUUAAUUGGA